rnacentral:rRNA from 1 species
GAAUUUUGCGCAAUGGGCGAAAGCCUGACGCAGCAAUACCGCGUGAGUGAUGAAGGCUCUUGGGUCGUAAAGCUCUGUCAGAGGGGAAGAACCUUCUGUCAUAUAAUACAUGACAGGCCUGACGGUACCCUCAGAGGAAGCACCGGCUAACUCCGUGCCAGCAGCCGCGGUAAUACGGAGGGUGCAAACGUUGUUCGGAAUUAUUGGGCGUAAAGAGCAUGUAGGCGGUCUGUCAAGUCUGAUGUGAAAGCCCGGGGCUCAACCCCGGAAGUGCAUUGGAAACUGGCAGACUUGAGUACGGGAGAGGAAAGUGGAAUUUCGAGUGUAGGGGUGAAAUCCGUAGAUAUUCGAAGGAACACCAGUGGCGAAGGCGGCUUUCUGGACCGAUACUGACGCUGAGAUGCGAAAGCGUGGGGAGCAAACAGGAUUAGAUACCCUGGUAGUGCACGCCGUAAACGAUGGGUACUAAGUGUUGCGGGUAUUGACCCCUGCAGGGCCAAAGCUAACGCAUUAAGUACCCCGCCUGGGGAGUACGGCCGCAAGGCUAAAACUCAAAGGAAUUGACG